rnacentral:rRNA from 1 species
GACGAACGCUGGCGGUGUGCUUAACACAUGCAAGUCGAACGGUAAGGCCCUUUCGGGGGCACACGAGUGGCGAACGGGUGAGUAACACGUGAGUAACCUGCCCUCAUCUCUGGGAUAACAGUCGGAAACGGUUGCUAAUACUGGAUAUGAGCUUGCAAGGCAUCUUGUGGGUUGGAAAGAUUUUUUUUGGUUGGGGAUGGACUCGCGGCCUAUCAGCUUGUUGGUGAGGUAGUGGCUCACCAAGGCUUCGACGGGUAGCCGGCCUGAGAGGGCGACCGGCCACAUUGGGACUGAGAUACGGCCCAAACUCCUACGGGAGGCAGCAGUGGGGAAUAUUGCACAAUGGACGGAAGUCUGAUGCAGCAACGCCGCGUGCGGGAUGACGGCCUUCGGGUUGUAAACCGCUUUCAAUUGUGACGAAGCUUUUUUGUGACGGUAGCAGUAGAAGAAGCACCGGCUAACUACGUG